GGAGGGGUGCCCGAGUGGUCAAAGGGAGCAGACUGUAAAUCUGUCGGCUUAACUGCCUACGGAGGUUCAAAUCCUCCCCCCUCCA
rnacentral:tRNA from 1 species